rnacentral:rRNA from 1 species
UGGAACGAAAGUCUGAUGGAGCAACGCCGCGUGAGUGAAGAAGGGUUCGGCUCGUAAAGCUCUGUUGGUAGUGAAAGAAAGAUAGAGGUAGUAACUGGCCUUUAUUUGACGGUAAUUACUUAGAAAGUCACGGCUAACUACGUGCC